rnacentral:rRNA from 1 species
CGGCACCACGAGGGUUGCACUGUCUCCUCUCUCUAAUCAGUGAAACUGAUCUCCCCGUGAAGAAGCGGGGAUAAAACCAUAAGACGAGAAGACCCCAUGGAGCUUUAAACCUCAAAGCAACUCUGACACAUAAUUCACCAUAAUCAACAGGGCUAUGCAAGCCGGUUUUAGGUUGGGGCGACCGCGGAGUAAAAAUUAACCUCCACAACGAAAAGAACUAAAUCUUUAUCUAAGAGCUACUCCUCUAAGAAUUAGUAAACUAACGAAAAAUGACCCGAUUAUCGAUCAACGGACCAAGUUACCCUGGGGAUAACAGCGCAAUCUACUUCGAGAGCCCAUAUCGACAAGUAGGCUUACGACCUCGAUGUUGGAUCAGGGUAUCCCAGUGGUGCAGCCGCUACUAAAGGUUCGUUUGUUCAACGAUUAAAACCCUACGUGAUCU